rnacentral:rRNA from 1 species
GACGAACGCUGGCGGCGUGCCUAAUGCAUGCAAGUCGCACGCGGCACCUUCGGGUGCUGCGUGGCGAACGGCUGAGGAACACGUGGGGACCUGUCCGGGAGUGGGGGACAACACCGCGAAAGCGGUGCUAAUCCCGCAUACGCUCUGAGGAGGAAAGCCGAAAGGCGCUCCCGGGUGGCCCUGCGGCCCAUCAGGUUGUUGGUGGGGUAACGGCCUACCAAGCCAAUGACGGGUCGCUGGUCUGUGAGGACGACCAGCCAGACUGGGACUGGGACACGGCCCAGACUCCUACGGGAGGCAGCAGCAAGGAAUUUUCGGCAAUGGGCGCAAGCCUGACCGAGCAACGCCGCGUGCAGGAAGACGGCCUUCGGGUUGGAAACUGCUUUUGCUAGGGAGGAUAACAGACAGUACCUGGCGAAUCAGCCCCGGCUAACUCUGUG